GUGCGUGUGCCUGUGUGUAUGCGUGUGUGUGUAAGUUUAAGUGUGUUAAUUAAUUUACAAAGCCGCUUGCCUCUGGGCUUCAGUGUGCAGUCUUGCAAAUAACAUAUACAAAUUUUUGUGAAUUUGUUGAUUUCGGCAACAAAAAACAAAAUGUUGCGCGUGCUAUAAACAAGUGUGAUUUCCCCUUUGUUCACCACGCGCGCGUCCCACUAAAAAGAAAAGAGCUAACAACAGCUACAAGAGAACAGCAACAACAAUAACGAAGGCAAAGGAAGCGCUGGCGCUUCAUGUACUUGAAAACGAAAGUUCUUUCGCAUGCAAACGGUUGCGCAUAAAAAAACACCAUAACCAUACACUCACACAAACAAGCGCAUACGCCAACACUAUACACAUACACCACGCACACAUCGAGUGCUUGUAAACCGAAGAGCGGGAGACGACAGAACGCAGUAAAAGACAGAGAGGAGGCGCCGUGGCCACUUGGCCUUGAACUUGUGCGGCGCGGGAGCGCAGCGUUUGACUCUUAAUGAAGCAGAAUUUCCACAGACUGCAGCCAUAAUAUAAAGUUACACAACUCGCCGACGUCGCAGAGUCAAUUGAAGGAAAUUCAGGAAAUUCAGGAAAUAUUUGAUAGAAAUAAAACACGCCUAAAAGUACACAAAACCCAGUGGCUUAAUCGCAUUCAUAUUGCCAUAUAUACAACAGAUAAUACAAAUAUCUAAAUAUAUAUAAAUCUAUCCAUAUAUGUAUAUAACAUUAUAUAUAUAUAUAUAUAGCUGUAAUUAAACAAGAUUGGAUUAUAGCUUAUUUUUGACUGGGACUCUUUGAUGUUGUUCACACAGCGGCAUUUCGGCAGCAAAACUUUUUUGUACCUGUUCGCUAAAGGAAAACUUUAAUAAGAUACCUGAGAAUACACUUUACACUGCAACAAAUAUAUAUAAAUAUACAAUCACAAGAGCAAACAAUAAAUAAAAACAAAUAAAAGAAAAACAAACACUUUGCCGUUUCGAGAAACCGUCCAGCACUUAUAUACAUAACUAUAUAUAUGUAUAUAUAUAUAUAUAUAUAUAUAUAAAUAGAGAUCAGA